UAGGGAAUCUUCCGCAAUGGGCGAAAGCCUGACGGAGCAACGCCGCGUGAGUGAUGAAGGUCUUCGGAUCGUAAAACUCUGUUAUUAGGGAAGAACAAAUGUGUAAGUAACUAUGCACGUCUUGACGGUACCUAAUCAGAAAGCCACGGCUAACUACGUGCCAGCAGCCGCGGUAAUACGUAGGUGGCAAGCGUUAUCCGGAAUUAUUGUGCGUAAAGCGCGCGUAGGCGGUUUUUUAAGUCUGAUGUGAAAGCCCACGGCUCAACCGUGGAGGGUCAUUGGAAACUGGAAAACUUGAGUGCAGAAGAGGAAAGCGGAAUUCCAUGUGUAGCGGUGAAAUGCGCAGAGAUAUGGAGGAACACCAGUGGCGAAGGCGACUUUCUGGUCUGUAACUGACGCUGAUGUGCGAAAGCGUGGGGAUCAAACAGG
rnacentral:rRNA from 1 species